CACAUCACUGCCUGCUGCUUUCUGAAGUGCUUAAGGGGACAACAUCAUGAGAGGUUGCCAAGAUAUCAGUCUCGCUGUGCUUAUUGGCACUGUCAUAGCGGCGCUAAGUAUGUGCCCUCUUGCAACCAGCCUGGAAGUGAUGUUCAGGCCGCGCACAGAAGAGAUUGCAGAUGCAGCUCAAUGAACCACCGGAACAUUUAUGUUAAGUUUGCCUGUUCAGCAGACCCUAAACGAAAGCUGAAAUCAGCCUUAAAAUAAAGCAUUGAGCCUGAAUA